CUCAGAAUGUCUAAACAUGUUUACUGGUUUUUAGUUUUAACCUAUAAAAAAAAACAAAAAAACCUUUUUAACCGAUAUGUUCUUUAUGAAUGAAAACAUCCUAUCCUUGGGAUACUCCAUUCAUUAUCCAAACAUCUGAUAUCAGAUAUGAAAUCUCCAACACCCCCUUGUCCACAUAUGAACAAAUCAUCUGCAGUAAAACGCAUGUUCAGUAUGAGGUUUACAUUUUGUGUGAUAGAGAGCAGCAGGUGAAAUGCAUGUCAACUACAUAGUGCCCUCUUGUGUCACAAGGCAAAAUAAGAAUAUGUAUCCAAAUUAGGAAAAUAGACCUAUGUUUUGUUGAACAUCGAAAGGUCAUUGUGCUUUUUUUAUUGGAAUGGCUUCAGCAGUCAAAAAGGCAUAAAUACAAUGCAAUGUCAUUCAAAGAUAUAGGUAGCUCUACAGGUCGUUAAAAUGUAUUGAACGUAAAUUCAGAAAUAAUUUUAAAGUGAUUUACUUUACUUUCUAUGUUAAAGGGGCACUAUGGUGUCAGGAACACAAACAGUCCGGACCCUAUAAUUCUAAAACCAC